AGGACCUGCUUUUCCUAAACCCAUGUUGACUGGGCCUGAUCACCUGGUUAUCCUUUAAGUGCCAUGUGAUGGCACUCAAGAUGAUCUGCUCCUGGCACUGAGGUCAGGCUGACAGGCCUGUAGUUUCCCAGAUCCUCCUUCUGGCCCUUCCUGUAGAUGAGUGUCACAUCAUUGGCUAAUCUCCUGUCAACUGAUACCUCUCCAGUUAUCCAGGACUUCCAGUGUUAUAGAAGAACAGCAUCAUCAUAGAAGAAAAAGAUCAUCAAACACAGGAAGCUGCUGAAAGAUAUGGAAAUGAAAAUAUAUUUGAUCCUUUUCAUGUGACAAAAAUGUCAAGCCAGGCUUGUGAAGUCCUUCUGUACUCUGCUUUUCACCAGUCCCAGCACAUCUUUCCACCAUUUGUGAGUUUUAGCUUCAAAACACUCCUGUGAAGUACAAGCUCUGCUUGUUAAGUGAAGAGUCAAGGCAUGGGACCCAACCACCUGAAACCUUCAGUGACUGAAAUCUCAAAGACUGAGAAGUCUCAAUGCCAUCACAGAGUCCGUAUGGUCUGGAGUGUCCUGCUGUGACACCUUCAAAACGCAGCCACAUCAGUGGGAUCGCCAGCAAGUACCGUAGAGCAGCAGCUUCUUGGCAGCAGCUGGGAUACCUGUCCAGGAAUGAGAGAAUUCUCAAGCCCUCUCUGCAUAGCCAAAAUCACGUGGAGUAGG